rnacentral:rRNA from 1 species
CAGUCGCCACGGUAAUACGUAGGUCCCGAGCGUUGUCCGGAUUUAUUGGGCGUAAAGCGAGCGCAGGCGGUUAGAUUAGUCUGAAGUUAAAGGCUGUGGCUUAACCAUAGUACGCUUUGGAAACUGUUUAACUUGAGUGCAAGAGGGGAGAGCGGAAUUCCAUGUGUAGCGGUGAAAUGCGUAGAUAUAUGGAGGAACACCGGUGGCGAAAGCGGCUCUCUGGCUUGUAACUGACGCUGAGGCUCGAAAGCGUGGGAAGCAAACAGGAUUAGAGACCCGUGUAGUCCCUGUCUCUUAUACA